rnacentral:rRNA from 1 species
GAUUACGGCCAUACCACACUGACAACGCCCGAUCUCGUAUGAUCUCGGAAGCUAAACAGAGUUGGGCUGGGUCAGUACUUGGAUGGGUGACCGCCUGGGAAUACCCGGUGCUGUAAGCA